AGAUGUGAGGGUGAUCUGGCUGUAACACCUGACACUCCACUGAUUGGCAAGGUUGAUUUGGCCAAACUGGCUGGCCAAGUAGGUGUCCCCUUCCUUUCUCACCACUCCAGGUAUAGCCCUUCCAAUGCAUGUGCUCCACUGAAGAGGAUGACCUUCCCACUAGAGGAGGCCAGUUCUUUUGUCAGGGGUAUAUGAACCCUGCUAGAACCUCCAAAGAGGCUCUCAACUGUGGUCAUUUAGGUACAGAAGAAAACUCAAUUAUUAUCUUCAGGUGAAUAAAAAAAUUUUAAUAAAGAAAUGUGCUAUUU
ensembl:misc_RNA 7SK 7SK RNA